GCGACCUUGAUGUAGCGGUAACACACAUCCUGCAUAUGGGAUGCAAUUAUGACGGUUAAGGGUGGGUCCGGGGUUCGACUCCCCGAGGGCGCA